UCCCACAGUGCGGGGGUGGGAGCCGGGCGCCGGCACCAGCUGUGGGGCGAGUCGUGCUGCGCUGCUCCGUCUGCCUGUGACCGGGCCCAAGGUCGGCAGAGUGCUCCCUGGACGGGCAACAGCGCCGCCGUCGCCUCCCGGUCGGGGAGCUGCUGGGCGAGCGCCCCGCGUGGGGUCUGUCAAGCAGGUCCAGCCUUAAUAAAAAUAAAUGUUAGCCGAAGUGGGCUAUGAAUUUAACAGUCGGAACUUAGGGAAUGGUUGCAGCCUGGAUAACCGGAGGCAGGGGUGUUACUUCCCCAUCUCCUGAGAGCUGAGGGUCAGUAUCCAGAGCAAGAAUUUUCAAGUUCAGAGACAUCGGAAUCCCCGUGGGACUUGCUAUGGCCGGUGACUGAGUUUCGGACUCCGAGGGUCCGGAGUGGGUCCAGAGAGCUUGCAUUUCCUACAAGUUGCCAGGUCAUGCAGAGGAUCCAAGACUUGGUGGCUACUGGUAUACUCAUCCCACGGUGCCUCUUAAUAACAAGUGGACUCCUACAAGGGCGAUGAGCAUCACAACUUUGGUUGGCCUCGGUCUGGGUUUUAACACAAGUAACAGCGCUACUUCUGACGCAUUUGAGUCCUCCGCUCCUUCAGAAGAAAGGCGGCCCUUCCCUUAACCAAUCAGACGAGUCCUUGCGGUCACCUGACAGCGGACACGCGUUCUCAUCGUGGGGGGGGGGACUCUGCCGCCUUCUGGCCGCUGGCGCGGUGCUCGCCUCAGAUGUGGAAAGACCGAGAAGUCGCGUCCCGACCUGGGGAGCGUGCGGAUUCUGACAGGACUGUCGCCGGCGCUGGAGGUGUUGCCGCAGUCGUGGAUAUGUGGAUACGCAUUUCCCUCAUGUUAAAGCACUUUGUCCUACGGCAAUAGCAGCUUGCACGUGGAUGCCGCCUUCCAGCAGACCCUCUGGAGCGUGGCCCCCAUCAGCUCAGGAAGCGAAGCAGCCAAGGGUAUCUCAUCGGCAGUGACAUCCUCAGGUUGCUUCAUG